GACGAACGCUGGCGGCGUGCUUAAUACAUGCAAGUCGAACGGAAAGGCCCUGCUUUUGUGGGCUGCUCGAGUGGCGAACGGGUGAGUAACACGUGAGUAACCUGCCCUUGACUUUGGGAUAACUUCUGGAAACUGUGGCUAAUACCGGAUAGGAGCUCCUGCUGCAUGGUGGUGGUUGGAAAGGUUCGGUGGUUGGGCAUGGACGGGGAGCUUAUCAGCUUUUUGGGGAGGGUGUGGUUUACCAAGGCUUUGACGGGCAGCCGGCCUGGGAGGGUGACAGGGCACAGUGGGCCAGGGAUACGAGCCAGACUGAAACGGGAGGAAGCAGGGGGAAAUAGAGCGAGAAGCGCCGAAGGCGGGAACAACAGUGUCGGGUCCGAAAUGACGGUUUUAGGGUUAUAAACAGGUUUGGACUGUGAAGAACAGACAGUGACGGUAACUGAUCAGGAAGCACCGGCUAACUACGUG
rnacentral:rRNA from 1 species